rnacentral:lncRNA from 1 species
UUCGGUGAAGAACUGGUGGUAUUUCUCCCCUCAGUUCGGCAAGAAGGGGUUGCUGAUAGGGGCUCCCUCUUUAAUCCAUAACUGGAAGAAAAAAUACCUCUUCGUCCACUGCCCAACUUUGAGGCUGGGCCUACCCCCUUGGGGCUCUCUGAGGGACUCUGUCCGCCGGGCUCCCAGUCUGGGGGAGGACGACCUUCAGGCCACCCGGAAGCUUCUUGACUAUUCCGCUCCUUCCCUCCC